rnacentral:rRNA from 1 species
AGGACGAACGCUGGCGGCGUGCUUCACACAUGCAAGUCGAACGGGGUCCAACUAGUGGCAACACUAGGGAAGAUCUAGUGGCGAACGGGUGCGUAACACGUGAGGAACCUACCCCGGACUCUGGGAUAACAGCGGGAAACCGCUGCUAAUACCGGAUACCGUCACACGGUCACCUGGCCGAGUGACGAAAGAUUCAUCGGUUCGGGAGGGUCUCGCGGCCUAUCAGCUUGUUGGCGGGGUAACGGCCCACCAAGGCAUCGACGGGUAGCUGGUCUGAGAGGAUGAUCAGCCACACUGGGACUGAGACACGGCCCAGACUCCUACGGGAGGCAGCAGUGGGGAAUAUUGGACAAUGGGCGCAAGCCUGAUCCAGCCAUGCCGCGUGAGUGAUGAAGGCCUUAGGGUUGUAAAGGCUCUUUCAGUGGGGAAGAGUAAUGACGGUACCACAGAAGAGCCCGGCUAACUCGUGCCAGCAGCCGC